UACAGAGGUCUCAAGCGUUGUUCGGAUUCAUUGGGCGUAAAGGGUGUGUAGGUGGCGCCGUAAGUCGGGUGUGAAAGCCCUGGGCUCAACCCAGGAAGUGCACUCGAUACUGCUCGGCUUGAGUAUGGAAGAGGGUUGCGGAAUUCCCGGUGUAGAGGUGAAAUUCGUAGAUAUCGGGAGGAACACCAGUGGCGAAGGCGGCAACCUGGGCCAAUACUGACGCUGAGGUGCGAAAGCGUGGGGAGCAAACAGG
rnacentral:rRNA from 1 species